rnacentral:rRNA from 1 species
AUUGAACGCUGGCGGCAGGCCUAACACAUGCAAGUCGAGCGGAUGAAGGGAGCUUGCUCCUGGAUUCAGCGGCGGACGGGUGAGUAAUGCCUAGGAAUCUGCCUGGCAGUGGGGGAUAACGUCCGGAAACGGGCGCUAAUACCGCAUACGUCCUGAGGGAGAAAGUGGGGGAUCUUCGGACAUCACGCUAUCAGAUGAGCCUAGGUCGGAUUAGCUAGUUGGUGGGGUAAAGGCCUACCAAGGCGACGAUCCGUAACUGGUCUGAGAGGAUGAUCAGUCACACUGGAACUGAGAAACGGUCCAGACUCCUACGGGAGGCAGCAGUGGGGAAUAUUGGACAAUGGGCGAAAGCCUGAUCCAGCCAUGCCGCGUGUGUGAAGAAGGUCUUCGGAUUGUAAAGCACUUUAAGUUGGGAAGAAGGGCAGUAAGUUAAUACCUUGCUGUUUUGACGGUACCAACAGAAUAAGCACCGGCUAACUUCGUG